UGAGUUGGCUGAGUGACCGCGAAUCAGAUUUCUGAUUCGAGGAAGGUCGGGACUCCAUAGGGCAGAGUGCUGAAAUACAAUCAGGCGCCGUGAGGCGACGGAAAGUGCAACAGAAAAUAAACCGCCGAUGGGUUGCUUGUCGACCACAGGCAAAGGUGAAAGGUGCGGUAAGAGCGCACCAGCAUUUGAGGUGACUCAAAUGGCUUGUAAACCCCACUCGGAGCAAGGCCAUGCAGAGAUCAGGCGGCCCGUCUGAUGAUCUCGGGUAGGCCGCUUAGAUGGAUGGUCACUCAUGCGGCUUCUAGCUGCUGGACAGAAUCCCGCCUACAGGCCGACUCACCGC
rnacentral:RNase_P_RNA from 1 species